UACGUAGGGUGCGAGCGUUAAUCGGAAUUACUGGGCGUAAAGCGUGCGCAGGCGGUUUUGUAAGUCUGACGUGAAAUCCCCCGGGCUCAACCUGGGAAUUGCGUUGGAGACUGCAAGGCUAGAAUCUGGCAGAGGGGGGGUAGAAUUCCACGUGUAGCAGUGAAAUGCGUAGAGAUGUGGAGGAACACCGAUGGCGAAGGCAGCCCCCUGGGUCAAGAUUGACGCUCAUGCACGAA
rnacentral:rRNA from 1 species